rnacentral:rRNA from 1 species
UACGGGGGGAGCAAGCGUUGUUCGGAUUUACUGGGCGUAAAGGGCGCGUAGGCGGUCAGCACAAGUCAGUUGUGAAAUCUCCGGGCUUAACUCGGAAAGGUCAACUGAGACUGUGCGACUAGAGUGCGGAAGGGGCAACUGGAAUUCUCGGUGUAGCAGUGAAAUGCGUAGAGAUCAUGAGGAAGACCAGUGGCGAAGGCGGGUCUCUGGACAGUUCCUGACACUGAGGCACGAAGGCGAGGGGAGCAAACGGG